rnacentral:lncRNA from 1 species
AGUGGGACCCGAAACUCGAACCCGGGUCCUUCAGAGUGGAAAGCCGAAGCGUUUCCAGGCGGCCAAUCCGGAGUACAAGAUGGUCGUUCGUAUAUGAAGGCGAAAGAUCGCCUAACGAAAACCGGACAGACGUACGCCGAAGUGGCGGAACAGCCACCAUAAUCGUUGAUCUCCGACCAACGGGUGGAAAUUCGUGACCUCCAUUGACUCGCCAACAUAAUGAAAUCUUAACAGAGUCAGGCGCGCGCCAGUUCGCGUCAAUGCCACCAUCUCGGGACAAUACAGUUCUUCCCCGUCUAUCUGCACUAGAUAAAGCGACCUUUGACCUUAGACGAGAGCUCCAGCGGGUCUCAGACCUAAUAAAGUCAUUCUUUCGAGAAACUGCGGAAAACAGCCGGCCCUGGGGGUCGAGUCUGCACUACUUUCGAAUAGGCGAAGAUUCGGUAAAAGCCGUGUCACGUGGUACGCGCUGACGUCAAAGUCGGUACCGAAUAGAAAAGUGCGAGUCUGGUCUCAAAUUUUUCGAAUGCGAAAGUAACGAAGUUGCGUUUUGAAUGAA